AUUGAACGCUGGCGGCAGGCCUAACACAUGCAAGUCGAACGAGUGGCGGACGGGUGAGUAAUGUCUGGGAAACUGCCUGAUGGAGGGGGAUAACUACUGGAAACGGUAGCUAAUACCGCAUACCAUCGGAUGUGCCCAGAUGGGAUUAGCUAGUAGGUGGGGUAAAGGCUCACCUAGGCGACGAUCCCUAGCUGGUCUGAGAGGAUGACCAGCCACACGGGAACUGAGACACGGUCCAGACUCCGACGUGAGGCAGCAGUGGGGAAUAUUGCACAAUGGGCGCAAGCCUGAUCCAGCCAUGCCGCGUGUGUGAAGAAGGCCUUCGGAUUGUAAAGCACUUUCAGUUGGGAGGCGUUACUAACAGAAUAAGCACCGGCUAACUCCGUGCCAGCAGCCGCGGUAAUUC
rnacentral:rRNA from 1 species